rnacentral:rRNA from 1 species
UACGAAGGGGGCUAGCGUUGUUCGGAUUUACUGGGCGUAAAGCGCGCGCAGGCGGCCCGCGAGGUGUCACGUGAAAGCCCCGGGCUCAACCCGGGAGGGUCGUGGCAAACCGGCGGGCUUGAGGCCGGUAGAGGUGGGUGGAACUCCUGGUGGAGUGGUGAAAUGCGUAGAGAUCAGGAAGAACACCCGUGGCGAAGGCGGCCCACUGGGCCGGUACUGACGCUGAGACGCGAAAGCGUGGGGAGCAAACAGG